rnacentral:piRNA from 1 species
UGGCUUUCCAGAUGUUUGGAUUAAAGGCCU